GAGUCAGAUGCUUAACCAACUGAGCCACACAGGCGCCCCUAAUGCUGGACCGCGGUUACGACCACGGACUCCAUAGACAGAUUGCAAGGACUGGAGGAACACUCACUAUGUGUGACCUUGGGAAUAUAUCUGCCGUUACGCUCUUUUUGAGUAAGUGCACUGGACUACUUUGUGCUUAUUCCCUGAAGCUGCAUUCCAACCACUGUGAUGCCAGAGACUAAUCAGGAGAAGCGUCACUAUCUGGCAAUGAGAACAGGAAAAAAAAUGCCCAUUCAGUCUGGCACCUCUCUAUUUUUAGGAAUAUACUGGGUCAUAGUUUGUCACUAUCACAGGGUUCCCUGGAAUGCCCAUGAAAUCUUUGACUGCUUUCUUUGCCUUGGGAAUACCCAAAAGAAUCUCUAAAUGCUUCAAGGGAAUGUCACAAAAAAGCCACAAAAACUAGCAUCAUAAAGCUAUUUAUAAAUAAUUUUAUCAGAAAAAAAAAAAGGCAAGUGGAGUGUGGUUAGGGAAGCAUACAGGCAGAAAUGAGUGAAGAAUAGAAAGAUAAGUUGAAAUAAAAAAUUAAAUAUGGCAUCACAACUUUAAAGCUGAAAAUCAAUGGGGUAAGAAAGAAAAAAACAGGUUCUAGGAACAAGUAUUAAUUUUAAAAAUAUACUGACAGUAAAUUAUAUAUAAGAUAUGCCUUUUAAACCAACGCUAAGGACAUAAAUUUAAGGGGUGGCUGGUGAAACUGAAAUCUUGUUUGAUUGUACUUAUCAGUUUCCAGUUAAAAUAUUGGCACGUCUUAAAAACCACACAAAUCAAUGGUCCAUAUUUUUUCAGCUAAAAUGGAGAACUGAUCAAAGAUUACCAGUUUAAUAAUAACUACAUUACCUCUCACUAAGAAACAGCUAGGAAACACUAUCAAUAAUUUUGUUUGAUAGGGGAUAGAGUUGUGAUACAGGAGUCAAAAAUUCUCUAUUUCUUUUUUCCUGCGGUCUAUUUAAUGCAGUCAGGCUAAUACACCAAAUGAGAAGAUUUGCCACUGACAUAAUUAAAACAUAAAAAAAAUAAUUUUAUGGCACAUAUGCUAUAAAGUCUAUAAAAUUCUGUGAGAAAUUAAAUUUUUCCCAGACUGAAACAUAACAUCAAAAUGAACAUGAAAGUCAGUUCUUUGCAUAAUAAUUCAUUUUGAGUCAGCUGAACAGUAGGUAAACCACUGUCAAAUUAAGCACUUAAAAAAAAUUAGAACUUCUUAGCAAGUCUCCGAUUACCCAUUCAUUCCAAUGGUAAGUUGCUUUUCUUAAAUCUCAAUCUACUUCCCAGCAGGAUACCCAGACUGAUAAACCAUCAGUAAAAUGUCAGCUUCCACUGAAGGGAAGACAGAGGAGAAAGAGAACAAAUGGUAAAAGAGAAAUCUGUAUUAUUUACAAAAUGGAAAAAUGAAUUACUCUGAUAAUUAUUAAUUUAGAAGGGAAUAAGAGGAAUAAAAUCCUAAGUAUUUUUAUUAAGAGAAUAUGUACUUGAUGAUCCACAGGGGCAAUUUGUACAUCACAGAACAGGGAAGAAUCUAUUAUCUAAUUCUCUACCGUAAGACAAAAAUACAAAAUAAACAUUGCCAAAUUGGUGAAUACACUAUUCUUUGAAAAGUGCAGGAAAAAAUUCCCUGUAUCAGUAAAAGCCAAUUCGAAUUAAAGCAUGCAUGAGCAGAAAGUUUUCCUUUUUGUUUAACUUAAAACUCUUAUUCCCACGUAGGCAGGAUUUUUAGAAUUUCCAGAAGACCAUUACAUCACUCUUCAGCCUUCUCUUCCACAUAAAAAAAAGAAAAACUACAACUGUUGUUUCUUUCCUCAAAAGGUUUCACUUCUCUGUGUGAGAAUGUUCUGUGUACCCUAAUUUUCUUUGGAUUUCUUUGUAUCUAUAUGCAAAAGAAAGCUCCAAACCGUUAAGGUGUUCUUAAGGUGUUAAAUUUUAAAUGAAAACUUUCUUUCAAAGGCAUUUGGCUCAUGGUUUACCUAUAAUCCUCCAAUUAUACUUUUCCUAACCUGUAACUCUUACCAGCUGGGAAGAAUGAUGGCUUCUGAUUCUGAAAAUGCUAAAAUAAACCUCAUCUUGAAUCUA